rnacentral:tRNA from 1 species
GCCGGGGUAACCUAGCCACGCUACGCUAGAAUGGAUUGGGUGCCGGACUCAUAAUCCGGUUGCAGGGGUUCGAAUAAAGCAGUCACACAAAAAGGAAUAGUGACUGCUUAGUCGGAAAUCCCCUCCCCGGCA